GGUUUUAGAAGAAAAAGAAAAAAGAAAUGAAAAGAGAAAAUGGGAGAAGUGGCAGAAAAGGGGACUUGCGACGAUGAUGGAGAAUUCUUUUUCCACCGGAUUUUGGCCGCCGUUUGGAUGAUCGAUCGUCAUCCGUUUUGCUUGAAAAUUUGAGGAGGUGCUCUACUCGACGAGAUGAAUAAUUCUACGAUGGCCGAUCUUGUUUUUAACGGUUGGAUUCGUAUACAUGUGGUAGGGGAACCUAACCCUAAAACUUUAAUUAAAUGCGUUUUUCCUUGGAAAAAAAUUGUAGAUCUUGUCAUUAUGAGUUAAUUAGGUAAUGUUGAUGCUGUAAGAACUUUUUUGGAUGAUUGGGAAUUUUUUUGGAAUUUUUGUAAUUUUGGGAAUUUCUUUUUGGUUGAUAAAUGAUUGUUUUAGGUUGCUAAAAUUAUUGGAAUUGUUGAAAAUUUAUGAAAUUGUGGUAUAAUUUCAAAUUUAUUGGUAUGUGAAUUUUUGAGAAUUCGUUGGAAUAUUUUCGGUAAUUUUAAUGUGGUAAAUUAAUUAUAUUCGAUUAUUGGAAAUUAUUAGAAUUAUUGGAAAAUUUUGAAAUUGUGGUAUAAUUUCAAAUUUAUUGAUAUGUGAAUUUUUGAGAAUUUGGUUGAGUAUUUUCGAAAAUUUUAUUAUGGAAAAUUAAUUAUAUUGGAUUAUUGGGAUUGUUGGAAUUGUUGGAAAAUUUUGGAAUUGUGGCAUGAUUGUAAUUCUAAUGAUAUUGGUGAUACAUAUGAAUGAGAGUAAUUAACCUCAUGACAUUCAUUUGCAUCAUGGUUGUGUGAAGAAGGGAUAAAAAAUUGUGAAAAGUGUAUGAAAUAGAAAAAGAAAGAAAAAUAUGAAAUCGUGAUGAAAAGUAAAGGCUCCUUUGAGGCAAAUUAAGAAGGGAGAGAGAUCAUUCGGGUGAAAGACACAAAAGUUUACUUAAGGAAGACUCUGAAUAGGGAGUGUAUUUGUGUGUAGAUGCAUAUCAUUUAGUGAAAGCCCAAGAACGAUAGUGCAUUGUAUGACUGUGUCACAUGUUCUAUGAAACCAAUGUUUGGUUAAUUUUGAUUUUGAUGAUAACAAAACAAGGUUUAGAACUAAUGAUCAUAUUUCAAGUGUGAUUAGGCAAGACGAUUUCCAAAGUGGCAAUCACAAAGACAAAUCAAGCCAAGGAGAAAUCAUGAAAAAGAAGAUCACCUCAAAGAGAAGAGUUUUUCAAGACCAAAACUUCAUAAGAUCUCUUUGUAAGGUUGUUGGUGCACUAGGACCUUUAUGCAUUUCAUUCUUUAUUUAUGCACAAAAAUCAUCCAAGAGUAAUAUUGUUUUAAAUAUCUUAAGAAUUGGAUGAUUUCAUGUUUUUAACUAAAACCUUGUGUUAAAUGAUUUUCAAACUUGUGUUAAAAGGUUUUAAGUUGAAAAAGGUUGGGUGUUGAGCCAAAAAAUGGCUCAACCGGUUGUGCUCGUCCGGUCAAGGACCGGUUGAGAGGCCAAAAAGUUUUUCUCUCUCCUAGUGGCCUUUUCUUCCUAGUCAAGGUUGAACCUCAAUCGGUUGAGGUCCGAUCAAGGUCUUGUUGAGGUCCGGUUGAGGCCCAAUGGUCACCUGCCAAGCAUUAAAUGCUAACGGCUAGUCAAUUGAUCGACCCCUAUCUCGAUCGGUCGAACCCCCAAUGGCUAGUUUGACUUUUUUCUUCUAUAAAAAGGCUCCAAUCUUCAUUGUUUCAUGAGCUUAACCUUCCCAAAUCUUUCUUGAUUAUAUUUGAGCAUUGGAAGAGUAUUUUUGAGUGCACCAUUAUUUCAAAACUUGCAUAUCUUUAGUGCACCAUUCAAUCCUAGUUUUUCUUAUAUCAUUUAAACUUAAAGUUCUUGUGCUAGGAUUUUUGAGAGAUCAUUCAUUUGUAAAUCUUUGAGAGGAAGUUUCUCAAGUGUGGGGUAUCACUUGAGGGGUUGUUCAAGAAUGAGAUAUCUCUUGAGAAGUGUAAAAGGUGCUUGGAGCCAAAAGUCCAAGAGGGUGAAUUGAAACCAUAAUCCAAUUGUAUUGCUUGAAGGCUUGGUUUGGAAGCUUAGGAUUAGUGGAACCUCAACCUUGAGAUUGAAGCUAGAGGAGAGUGGAUGUAGGCCGGGUUGCACCGAAUCACUAUAAACUCUUGUGUUUGCAUUCUCUCUUCCCUACUCUUUAAUUAAUAUGCAAUUGUCUAUAUAUUGAUUAUUGUAUACUUGCAUAUAGUUGUCUCUUGCAUUAACUUGUUUAAAUUUACAAAAAGAGACCAUCACCCUAUUCACCCCCUCUCUAGGGUGAUUACCAUAGGUUGGAUUAGCCUAAUAUUUCUAACACAUUCAUAUGCAUUUCAUUUAAUUGUUUCAUAUUGUGGAAUUGUGUAUAAUAUUAGAGAUUAAAUUAUGUGGCUUGAUCAAUAUUGUUGAGAUGUUUUUUUUGUGUUAUUUGGAACUUAGUAAUCCCUAUUAAUUUCUUGGGUGUUAGACACCUUUCUAAGCAAUGUGGAAUGCUCACCCCUUCCUUUUUACAUCUUUUUAGAUGCAGAUAUCACUCCUGAGGAUCCAUAGGUGGGGCAAGGAGGACUUUAGGAUGCCCUUGGAGCGGCCUAGUGGAGUGUGUUGUAUUUAUUGAGUUUGUGGUUUUGGGACUUGUUUUAGUAAACAGUGAAUUAUGGACUUGUAAUGAGACCCUAUUUUGAUUAAGUUGUUUAAUUGUGAACUUUUGUUUUUGG
rnacentral:lncRNA from 1 species